rnacentral:rRNA from 1 species
UACGAAGGGGGCGAGCGUUGUUCGGAAUUACUGGGCGUAAAGGGCGCGUAGGCGGCCGAUCAAGUUAGAUGUGAAAGUCCUGGGCUUAACCUGGAGACUGCAUUUGAUACUGAUUGGCUUGAAUUCGGGAGAGGAUAGCGGAAUUCCCAGUGUAGAGGUGAAAUUCGUAGAUAUUGGGAAGAACACCGGUGGCGAAGGCGGCUAUCUGGACCGACAUUGACGCUGAGGCGCGAAAGCGUGGGGAGCAAACAGG